UACAGAGGGUGCGAGCGUUAAUCGGAAUUACUGGGCGUAAAGCGCGCGUAGGCGGCUUUUCAAGUCGAUUGUGAAAUCCCCGGGCUUAACCUGGGAACUGCAGUCGAGACUGUCUAGCUAGAGUAUGGGAGAGGGUAGUGGAAUUCCCGGUGUAGUGGUGAAAUGCGUAGAUAUCGGGAGGAACACCAGUGGCGAAGGCGACUACCUGGCCUGUUUCUUGACGCUGAGGCGCGAAAGCUAGGGGAGCAAACGGGG
rnacentral:rRNA from 1 species